CAGCAGCCGCGGUAAGACAGAGGAUGCAAGCGUUAUCCGGAAUGAUUGGGCGUAAAGCGUCUGUAGGUGGCUUUUCAAGUCCGCCAUCAAAUCCCAAGGCUCAACCCUGGACAGGUGGUGGAAAAUACCAAGCUGGAGUACGGUAGGGGCAGAGGGAAUUUCCGGUGGAGCGGUGAAAUGCGUUGAGAUUGGAAAGAACACCAACGGUGAAAGCACUCUGCUGGGCCGACACUGACACUGAGAGACGAAAGCUAGGGGAGCAAAUGGGAUUAGAUACCCCGGUAGUCCCUGUCUCUUAUAC
rnacentral:rRNA from 1 species